AUAACAAAUAUGACUUGUCUGUAUUACCACUUUCAAAUGUCUCAAACGAUAUGAAGGAAAAAUUAUUAUUUGAAAAAAAAGAAAAGCUACUUUUAUACUUUUUAAAUGAAAAUAAUUCAAAUAAAUUAACUUUGGAAAUAAUACAAAAUUUAUAUUUCUUAUACAAACAUACAAACCAAAAACUGUUAUGGUUUAUUUAUUAUAUUAUUAUAAAAUAUAUAAAUUAUGUAAAUAAAACAACUAAGAGUGAUAUAAAUAAUUCUUUUUUAGUAAAGAAGCAUAUGCGAUGUUUAUUAAAAAAUGUUUUUUGUUGUGAAAAGAAAGACGAUAAUAAUUGUAACAUUCAUGUUAAUAAUUCAUUUAAUGACGUACAUCAUAAGUCUGAUAUACAAGACACUACUAAAAAAGAUAAUUAUUUGUUUUUAAUCAAUAAAGAAUAUUUAUAUAGAGACGAAUUUUUAUUUUUUUUUCUUCAAUUAAAUUUAUAUGAAACACAUUGCAUUUUUAAUAAUAGUGUAUAUUCUUUGAUAGAUUUAAAGUUUUCAAGUAGGGAUGAUAGUGAAAGGACUACAUAUAAAGUAGAUAUAUAUAAUGACAGUAAUAUGCCACAUAUGAGAGAGUUAAAAAUAAAAUACAGUAACAUUAUUACUAUUAUAAAAAAAAUUGCUUAUAUAAUUUCGAAUAUGCAGAUAUGUCAAACGUACAAAGAGACUAGUGGAAAUAACAUAUUUGUCAUUAUUAAUUAUUUAUUUACAACUAUUAAGAAAUUGAAUUUGCAGUAUGACAUUAAUUUAGAACAUAAAUUAUAUAUGAUUGAUGACAUUUUGUUUUUAACAAUAAAAAUAAUUCUGCUCUUUUACUUUAUUUCUUUUUAUUUGUUACCGUUUAUAUAUACCAAGAAUAGUACUAAUGAAAAGUAUGUAAAAUAUGAAAAAAAACAGAAAUAAUUUGGAAAAAAAUUAUUUAUUAUAUAUUAAAACGAUGAAUAGUAGAAAAAGGAAAGUCAUUGAGUCGAUUACGCAUGAUCAAAUUAGUAUGGAAAAAGUUGUACAAGGUGACCAUAAAGUUGGACACGCGUAUCAAUUAAUGAAUGAACAAACUGACAAAAGAAUUGAUGGUAAUGUAAAUGAA
ensembl:lncRNA